CCUACGGGUGGCAGCAGUGGGGAAUAUUGCACAAUGGGGGAAACCCUGAUGCAGCGACGCCGCGUGGGUGAAGAAGUUUUUCGUUACGUAAAGCUCUAUCAUCAGGGAAGAAAAUGACGGUACCUGAGUACUACGCCCCGGCUAACUCCGUGCCAGCAGCCGCGGUAAUACGUAGGGGGCAAGCGUUAUCCGGAUUUACUGGGGGUAAAGGGAGCGUAGACGGGGCGCCAAGUCUGGAGUGAAAUGUAGCAGCUUAACUGCGGAACUGCUUUGGAAACUGGCGAACUAGAGUGCGGGAGGGGUAAGCGGAAUUCCUAGUGUAGCGGUGAAAUGCGUUGAGAUCAGGAGGAACACCGGUGGCGAAGGCGGCUUACUGGACCGUAACUGACGUUGAGGCUCGAAAGCGUGGGGAGCAAACAGGAUUAGAUACCCUUGUAGUC
rnacentral:rRNA from 1 species